rnacentral:misc_RNA from 1 species
UUUCCGUAGGUGAACCUGCGGAAGGAUCAUUAUUGAAUAAACCUGAUGUGACUGUUAGCUGGCUUUUCGAAGCAUGUGCUCGUCCGUCAUCUUUAAUCUCUCCACCUGCGCACGUUUUGUAGUCUUGGAUACCUCUCGAGGCAACUCGGAUUUUAGGAUCGCCGUGCUGCACAAGUCGGCUUUCCUUUCAUUUCCAAGACUAUGUUUUUAUAUACACCAAAGUAUGUUUAAAGAAUGUCAUCAAUAGGAACUUGUUUCCUAUAAAAUUAUACAACUUUCAGCAACGGAUCUCUUGGCUCUC